rnacentral:rRNA from 1 species
AAAUUGAAGAGUUUGAUCAUGGCUCAGAUUGAACGCUGGCGGCAGGCCUAACACAUGCAAGUCGAACGGUAGCACAGAGAGCUUGCUCUCGGGUGACGAGUGGCGGACGGGUGAGUAAUGUCUGGGAAACUGCCCGAUGGAGGGGGAUAACUACUGGAAACGGUAGCUAAUACCGCAUAACGUCGCAAGACCAAAGUGGGGGACCUUCGGGCCUCACACCAUCGGAUGUGCCCAGAUGGGAUUAGCUAGUAGGUGGGGUAACGGCUCACCUAGGCGACGAUCCCUAGCUGGUCUGAGAGGAUGACCAGCCACACUGGAACUGAGACACGGUCCAGACUCCUACGGGAGGCAGCAGUGGGGAAUAUUGCACAAUGGGCGCAAGCCUGAUGCAGCCAUGCCGCGUGUAUGAAGAAGGCCUUCGGGUUGUAAAGUACUUUCAGCGAGGAGGAAGGCGUUGUGGUUAAUAACCACAGCGAUUGACGUUACUCGCAGAAGAAGCACCGGCUAACUCCGUGCCAGCAGCCGCGGUAAUACGGAGGGUGCAAGCGUUAAUCGGAAUUACUGGGCGUAAAGCGCACGCAGGCGGUUUGUUAAGUCAGAUGUGAAAUCCCCGGGCUCAACCUGGGAACUGCAUUUGAAACUGGCAAGCUUGAGUCUCGUAGAGGGGGGUAGAAUUCCAGGUGUAGCGGUGAAAUGCGUAGAGAUCUGGAGGAAUACCGGUGGCGAAGGCGGCCCCCUGGACAAAGACUGACGCUCAGGUGCGAAAGCGUGGGGAGCAAACAGGAUUAGAUACCCUGGUAGUCCACGCCGUAAACGAUGUCUACUUGGAGGUUGUGCCCUUGAGGCGUGGCUUCCGGAGCUAACGCGUUAAGUAGACCGCCUGGGGAGUACGGCCGCAAGGUUAAAACUCAAAUGAAUUGACGGGGGCCCGCACAAGCGGUGGAGCAUGUGGUUUAAUUCGAUGCAACGCGAAGAACCUUACCUGGUCUUGACAUCCACGGAAGUUUUCAGAGAUGAGAAUGUGCCUUCGGGAACCGUGAGACAGGUGCUGCAUGG